rnacentral:rRNA from 1 species
GUCCCUGCCCUUUGUACACACCGCCCGUCGCUACUACCGAUUGAAUGGUUUAGUGAGAUCUUCGGAUUGGAACCGCCGCGAUCGGCAACGGUCAGGUGGAUUUCGAGAAGUUGAUCAAACUUGAUCAUUUAGAGGAAGUAA